rnacentral:tRNA from 1 species
GGGCCUGUGGCUCAGCCAGGUAGAGAGUUAUCCUAUAGGGUUAAUAGGUCGUGGGUUCAAAUCCCACCAGGCCCG